rnacentral:rRNA from 1 species
UCGAGAAUAUUCGGCAAUGGGCGCAAGCCUGACCGAGCGACGCCGCGUGCAGGAUGAAGGUCUUAGGAUUGUAAACUGCUUUUCUACAGGAAAAAGUUAUUGAUGGUACUGUAGGAAUAAGUGGCUGCAAACUUCGUGCCAGCAGCCGCGGUAAUACGAAGGCCACAAGCGUUAUCCGGAUUUAUUGGGCGUAAAGAGUGUGUAGGAGGAUUUUUAAGUUUGGUGUUAAAUUCCAUCGCUUAACGGUGGAGCCGCAUUGAAUACUGAAAAUCUAGAGUGUGCGAGAGGUCAAUAGAACUCAUGGUGUAGGGGUGAAAUCCGUUGAUAUCAUGGGGAAUACCAAAGGCGAAGGCAUUUGACUGGCGCAUUACUGACUCUGAGGCACGAAAGCGUGGGGAGCAAAAAGG